ACGCUGGCGGCAGGCCUAACACAUGCAAGUCGAGCGGAAACGACAACAUUGAAUCUUCGGAGGAUUUGUUGGGCGUCGAGCGGCGGACGGGUGAGUAAUGCCUAGGAAAUUGCCUUGAUGUGGGGGAUAACCAUUGGAAACGAUGGCUAAUACCGCAUAAUGCCUACGGGCCAAAGAGGGGGAUCUUCGGACCUCUCGCGUCAAGAUAUGCCUAGGUGGGAUUAGCUAGUUGGUGAGGUAAUGGCUCACCAAGGCGACGAUCCCUAGCUGGUCUGAGAGGAUGAUCAGCCACACUGGAACUGAGACACGGUCCAGACUCCUACGGGAGGCAGCAGUGGGGAAUAUUGCACAAUGGGCGAAAGCCUGAUGCAGCCAUGCCGCGUGUAUGAAGAAGGCCUUCGGGUUGUAAAGUACUUUCAGUUGUGAGGAAGGGGGUAACGUUAAUAGCGUUAUCUCUUGACGUUAGCAACAGAAGAAGCACCGGCUAACUCCGUGCCAGCAGCCGCGGUAAUACGGAGGGUGCGAGCGUUAAUCGGAAUUACUGGGCGUAAAGCGCAUGCAGGUGGUUCAUUAAGUCAGAUGUGAAAGCCCGGGGCUCAACCUCGGAACUGCAUUUGAAACUGGUGAACUACAGUGCUGUAGAGGGGGGUAGAAUUCCAGGUGUAGCGGUGAAAUGCGUAGAGAUCUGAAGGAAUACCAUGG
rnacentral:rRNA from 1 species